rnacentral:ribozyme from 13 species
CUUUGACGGCUCCUUGAAGACCUUUUUUAGGAUCCUUCUCUUUUUUUUCUUCUCUAUUCUUUUGUGCACUUUCAAUUACAACACGAAAGAGAGUGUGAGAC